rnacentral:rRNA from 1 species
AAUCAACGCUGGCGGCGUGCCUCAGACAUGCAAGUCGAACGAUUAAGACUUCCUUCGGGAAGUGUAUAAAGUGGCGCACGGGUGAGUAACACGUAAGUAAUCUACAUUCGAGUGGGGAAUAACAUCGGGAAACCGAGGCUAAUACAGUAUAAUGCAGCGGCAUAGCAAGACGACCGUUGUUAAAGGAGCAAUUCGCUUGAAGAGGAGCUUGCGGCAGAUUAGCGAGUUGGUAAGGUAAUGGCUUACCAAGGCUACGAUCUGUAUCCGGUCUAAGAGGACGGUUGGACACACCGACACUGAAUAACGGGUCAGACUCCUACGGGAGGCAGCAGUCGGGAAUUUUGGACAAUGGGCGAAAGCCUGAUCCAGCCAUGCCGCGUGUGUGAAGAAGGUCUUCGGAUUGUAAAGCACUUUAAGUCGGGAGGAAGGGUUGUAGGUUAAUACCUUGCAGCCUUGACGUUACCGACAGAAUAAGCACCGGCUAACUU